rnacentral:rRNA from 1 species
GGUAAUGCCGGAUGCUCCAUCACACCGCAUGGUGUGUUGGGAAAGCCUUUGCGGCAUGGGAUGGGGUCGCGUCCUAUCAGCUUGAUGGCGGGGUAACGGCCCACCAUGGCUUCGACGGGUAGCCGGCCUGAGAGGGCGACCGGCCACAUUGGGACUGAGAUACGGCCCAGACUCCUACGGGAGGCAGCAGUGGGGAAUAUUGCACAAUGGGCGCAAGCCUGAUGCAGCGACGCCGCGUGAGGGAUGGAGGCCUUCGGGUUGUAAACCUCUUUUGUUAGGGAGCAAGGCAUUUUGUGUUGAGUGUACCUUUCGAAUAAGCACCGGCUAACUACGUGCCAGCAGCCGCGGUAAUACGUAGGGUGCAAGCGUUAUCCGGAAUUAUUGGGCGUAAAGGGCUCGUAGGCGGUUCGUCGCGUCCGGUGUGAAAGUCCAUCGCUUAACGGUGGAUCCGCGCCGGGUACGGGCGGGCUUGAGUGCGGUAGGGGAGACUGGAAUUCCCGGUGUAACGGUGGAAUGUGUAGAUA